rnacentral:rRNA from 1 species
UACGUAGGGUGCGAGCGUUAAUCGGAAUUACUGGGCGUAAAGCGUGCGCAGGCGGUGAUGUAAGACCGAUGUGAAAUCCCCGGGCUUAACCUGGGAACUGCAUUGGUGACUGCAUCGCUCGAGUAUGGCAGAGGGGGGUAGAAUUCCACGUGUAGCAGUGAAAUGCGUAGAGAUGUGGAGGAAUACCGAUGGCGAAGGCAGCCCCCUGGGUCAAUACUGACGCUCAUGCACGAAAGUGUGGGGAGCAAACAGG